GCAAACACAUUCCAGCCAAUCAGCAGCAGACCCUCCCUCCCAGACCCUCCCACCUCCUGGACAGCAUCCAUUUUGAAGCUGCAUUCUUAGUGAGCUGUCCAGGAGGUGGGAGGGUCUGGGAGGGAGGGUCUGCUGCUGAUUGGCUGGAAUGUGUCUG